rnacentral:lncRNA from 1 species
CCCAUCAUGGGACCACCGCAGCGUCUACUGCUUUGAGAAAGCAGAUCGACGAGGGCACCUACGGGUAACACCCCCUCCUCCCUAAUUGAUCUGGUGAUUAUUCUACCUGUCUACUCUCCUAAUCCACUGAUUCACUUCAUUACUUGGCCACCGCUGGCAGUGAAGUGUACAUGGCGAAGGAGACGGACUGGAUCUGCAUGAUGUUACAUGAGCAUGAGGGUUGUGGACUUGAAUUCCACAAUUAAUACACACAUGAAAAAACUGCCAGGGAUUAAGUCUGACUGCGUGAUGAUGUCUGACGCUCCUGUUCAGCAGGUAAGGUAGCCAUCAUCCUUUUAUAGUUGUAUAUUUGGAUUUUCUUUUGCAAAAAACUGUACCACCUAUCAAUAUCACCCUAGAAGAUGGUAGAUUUCAUAUGAGCAGUGGUGGAAGAGCUGUCGAUCAGCCACCGCAUCAAC